CCGACUUCUAUUUUUAUCUUCUUCUUCUAUUUUUAUAUUAAGUAGGCUACAUAUGCGCGUUCAGAUUUCGAUCGGUGAGAUGUUUGGCCCCAACGGCCCAAGAGUCUUGCGGGCAAGAGUAGACCAGCGAUCUGUUGAAACUGUGGAAAUGCCUCGAAUAUAGGCUCAACACAAACAAUUGACACAACGGACUCGGGCCUGUCAAUUUAUUCAUCGAAAAUGUAGGUUGCUUGUCCGGUCUGGGACGUUUUUUAUAAUUAACAGUUUUUAUUGAAUAGCAUCUGCAUGACAAUGACGGUAUUGCUGAUAUGACACA